rnacentral:rRNA from 1 species
AUGGAGAGGAUGGCUAGCUCCUACUUUAAGGAGGUUUUCACUAAAGAUCCUACCUUGGAUCCGCAUGAGGUGUUGGAUAUGAUUGUUCCUAAGGUGUAUGCGGAGAUGAAUGACUCCUUGUGCAAGCCAUACUCGGAAGAGGAGAUUUCAAAUGCCCUUUUCCAGAUCGGGCCCCUGAAAGCUCCGGGCUACGAUGGCUUCCCAGCUAGGUUUUAUCAAAGGAAUUGGGCUAUUUUGAAAGUGGAAAUAGUGGCUGCAGUGCAAGAGUUUUUUGAUACUGUCAUCAUGCCAAAUGGUGUUAAUGACACGACGAUUGUGUUAAUUCUAAAAGUGCCCCACCCUAAGGAACUAAAAGAUUUCCGCCCCAUUAGUCUAUGUAAUGUGGUGUACAAGAUCGUGUCUAAAUGCAUGAUGAACAGGCUCCGGCCGCUCCUGUCUGAGCUUAUCUCUGAAAGUCAGAGUGCAUUCAUUCCAGGGAGGUUUAUCUCAGACAAUUCCAUUAUUGCCUUCGAGUGCAUUCAUAUUCACUCAGUCAAGGAGAAUUCACCAGCUUUGUGUGCAUACAAACUUGAUCUAUCGAAGGCGUAUGACCGCGUUUGGUUCUCCUUGGAAAGGGCGCUCUCUAAAUGGGGCUUCUCUGAUCAGUGGAUCUCUCGCGUUAUGGCAUGUGUCUCAUCAGUGAAGUAUUCUGUUAAAUUUAAUGGCAAACUAUUGGAGUCCUUCUCUCCCUCGAGAGGUCUACGCCAAGGUGAUCCAUUACCCCCCUUCCUUUUCCUCUUUGUGGCUGACGCUCUGUCUAUCCUUCUGAACAAGUCAAUGAACGAGCAAGGCCUACAAGGGGUCACGAUUUGUAGAGGGGCCCCGGUCAUCUCACACCUCUUAUUUGCGGAUGAUUCCCUCCUGUUUUUACAUGCCUCAGAGUAGCAUGCUCUCUUGGUUAAAGGUGUGUUGAACACGUAUUCGGCGGCGACCGGACAAUUGAUCAACCCAUCGAAGUGUUCCAUUCUUUUUUCAGAUAACUGUCUGCAGAGUGUGGCUCAAGAGAUCAAAACUGUGUUGGAGAUUACUCAAGAGGUGUUUGAGCGCAAGUACUUGGGUCUUCCUGUCCCGGAAGGAAGAAUUCAUAAAGGUGAUUUUGAAACAAUCCAAGAGCGCCUACGGAAGAAACUUAUAGAUUGGAGUGAGCAAUAUAUGUCCGCUGGUAAUAAGGAGAUUCUUAUUAAAGUUGUGGCCCAGGACCUUCCUGCUUAUGUAAUGAGUGUUUUCAAGCUUCCUGCAUCGGUCCGUGACGAACUAACUUGCAUGAUACGCCAAUACUGGUGGGGAGUGGAGAACGGCAAGAAGAAGAUGGCUUGGAUGAGCUAGGACAAACUGAGGCUGCCAAAGUCCAUGGGUGGCAUGGGGUUUCGUGACAUGAGGUUCUUUAACCAGGCAUUGCUUGCUAAACAAGCGUGGCGUUUGCUGGACAAGCCGGAGAGUCUUUGUGCUUGCCUUCUAAAGGCAAAAUAUUAUCCUUCUGAACAGUUGCUCGAUACGGUGUUUUCAGGCAAUGGUUCAUCAGUGUGGAAAGGUAUAUUGCAUGUCUUGGAUUUGCUC